CUGCUUCAAUAUGGCUACCUCCAACUCCCACACUGGCUUUUUUGUUGAAGGAACUGAUUUAGGGUUAGAGGAACUGAACAGUCCCAGCUAUGAAUUUUACAAGAUACAACCAUGGAGAGAAGAAGCUCCAUGGUGACUCCAGAAAGAUGAGCUCCUUGAUCACAUAGCUUCAAAAUCCUCUGAAACAGGGCUACCCUUGCAACAAUGUGGAACGGGACAGUUCAUUCUCAAAUCAACAACUGGC
rnacentral:lncRNA from 1 species